AAGCAGAUCGGCGGCCGCGGGGAGGUUCGGGGCGGCGCAGCCCCGCGCGGUUGUGGGAUCGCUCCCGGGGGCCGCUCCUCUCUCGGGCACUGGGGUCGCGGGAGACGUCGUCGGGAGCUCGGUUUCUGGAGGCCCUUCCCCACCCGGCCUCUGCCUCCUCCACUCCCCCGGGCUGGACGGAACGGGGCCCAGCGCGGGAUGCGAGGGUCUUACUAUGUCACCCAGACUGAAGUGCAGUGGCAUGAUCACAGGUCAUUGCAUCCUCAACCACCCAGACUCAAGCAAUCCUCCUGUCUCAGCCUUCCAAGUAACUGAGACCACAGAAAUAACCAUGGAUAUGGGUAGAGACAGAGCCAUAUGGAAUGCACACUGCAGUGGUGAACACAUGGCCCAGCUCUGCCAUCAAGGAGAAGGUGAGAACAUGGGGGAAGAUUUUAUCGAAGUUUCUUUUCUGGGGCAUAUGCUCAGGUUAAACACCUGCUCUGUAUCUCUAGCUUCUGACUCCUACCCCUGGCCAGCUCUGUUACUCUAGUACACUGCUAGGCAGGCAGAGUAUGGCCAAAGUAUUCACAACAGUGCAUCACUAAAUCAACUGGGAUCCACACAAUGGAAUAUCCUAAUGCAUCAUUAAAAAUCACAUUGUAAAAGAAGAUUUUAUAACAGAAAAAAAUGCACUGUAUAUGAUACAUUUUUAAAAUGUUACUUAUGCCAGUCACAAUAAAAGACAAUUACACUUAUAUGGGAUAGAGUAGUCAAUAUUAUAGAGACAGAAGGUAGAAAUGGGUCUGGGUGGAAAUUAGAAUGAGAUGUUCUUAGCAUUCCAGUUUUACAAGAUGAAAAGAGUAACGGAGACAGAUGGCAGUGGUGGUUGCAUGACAUUAUGAAUGUACAUAAUUAAAAAUGGGUAAGAUGGCACAGUGAGAUACCAUCUCACACCAGUCAAAAUGGCUAUUACUAAAAAGUCAAAAAAAUAACAGAUGCUGGGGAGCUUGUAGAGAAAAGGGAAUGCUUAUACACUGCUAGUGGCAGUGUAAGUUAGUCCAGCCACUGUGGCAAUUCCUCAAAGAACUUAGAACUAUCAUUUGACCCAGCAAUCCCAUUACUGGGUAUAUACCCAAAGGAAUAUAAAUUGUUCUGCCUUAAAGACACAUGCAUGUGAUUGUUCAUUGCAGCACUCUUUAUAAUAACAAAGACAUGGAAUCAACCUAAAUGCUCAUCAACAGUAGACUGGAUAAAGAAAAUGUGGUUCAUAUACACCAUGGAAUACUAUGCAGCCAUAAAAAAGAAUGAGAUUAUUUCCUUUGCAGGAACAUGAAUGGAGCUGGAGGCCAUCAUCCUUAGUGAACUAACACAGGAGCAGAAAACCAAAUACCACAUGUUCUCAUGUGUAAGUGGGAGCUAAAUGAUGAGAACACAUGGACACAAAGAGGGGAACAACAGACACUGAAGCCUCCUUGAGGGAGGAGGGUAAGAGGAAGGAGAAGAUCAGAAAAGAUAACUACCAGGUACUAUGGUAGCUUAGUACCUGGGUGAUGAAAUAAUCUGUACACCCAACCCUCAUGACAGAAGUUUACCUGUGUAACAAACCUGCACAUGUAUCCCUGAAACUAAAAGUUUUUUAAAAAGUUAUUUAAUAUAUAUAUAUUUUUUUGAGACGGAGUUUUGCUCUUGUUGCCCAGGCUGGAGUGCGGUGGCGCAAUUUCGGCUCACCACAACCUCCGCCUCCCAGGUUCAAGCUAUUCCCCUGCCUCAGCCUCCCUAGUAGCUGGGAUUACAGGCUUGUGCCACCACGCCGGCUAAUUUUGUAUUUUUUGUAGAGACGGGGUUUCUCCAUGUUGGUCAGGCUGGUCUCGAACUCCCGACCUCAGGUGAUCCACCCCCCUCGGCCUCCCAAAGUGCUAGGAUUACAGGCAUGAGCCACUGCGCCCGGCAAAAAGUUAUUUAAUAUUAAUGGGACAAUACUCAUUGCAAGAAUCAGACUUCAAUUGCUAGCAUAAGUAAAUGACAGGCAGGAGAUAUUGAAAAUGCAAUCUUAUAGACAUUCAAGGAGAGGACGCAGGACAUUUCUGUGUCAUAAAUGUACUAUGGAAAAUAAAAAUGAGAAAAAUGGAAAUAAAAUACAAGAAAAGGUUAUGAUAAAUUUCAUAUUAUUUUACCACAAUAAAAAAAUUUUAAUAAAUUAUAAAUGGUGUGAUAUGUUUUGCCUGUGUUCCACCCAAAUCUCAUCUUGAAUUAGAGCUCCCACAAUUCCCACGUGUUGUGGCUGGGACCCUGUGGGAGAUAAUUGAAUCAUGGGGGCAGUUUACCCCAUACUGUUCUCUUGGUGGUGAAUAAGUCUCAUGAGAGUUGAUGGUUUGAUAAGGGGUUUCCCCUUUUGCUUGGCUCUCAUUCUCUCUUGACUGCCACCAUGUAAGAUGUGCCUUUUGCCUUCCACCAUGAUUGUGAAGCCUCCCAGCCACAUGGAACUGUGAGUCCAUUAAACCUUUUUCUUUACAAAUUA
rnacentral:lncRNA from 1 species